CAUUAAAUGGCUGAAGUUUAAAGCAAUAGCCUCUUAAGCUAAUUUAUAAAGUAAAAUCUUUUUUAAUGA